AGACACGAGAGAUCAAGUAUCAAGUGAACCAAAGUUCCCUAUUGGGACUCCAUUACAAGUAUCUGUGCCACCACGGGUGCAGCCACAUGGUUGGUUUCCGGCUGAGGAAGAGGUGAGCCCUAGGCAACUUAAUCGACCCUUACCUCCCAAGGAAUUUCCUUUAAAUCCAGAGUCUAUGCAUAUUAACAAACAUCGGCCUCCUCAUCCACCUUUUCUUCCCAAAAUGGAGACUUCUAUGCCAUCUGAUAGAGUUUUUUUUGAGAACCAAAG
rnacentral:misc_RNA from 1 species